AAGUCGUAACAAGGUUUCCGUAGGUGAACCUGCGGAAGGAUCAUUAUUGAAUGAACUUGGUAUGAUUGUUGCUGGCCCAUCUGGGCAUGUGCACGUCUGCCAUCUUUAUCUCUCCACCUGUGCACAUAUUGUAGGUCUGGAAUAAAUUUCUGAGGCAACUCAGUGGUGGGGAAUGCUGCUGCGGAAGUGGCUUUGCCUGUAAUUUCAGAUCUAUGUUUUCAUAUACACCAUAAAAAUGUAACAGAAUGUAUUAAUGGGUCUUGUACCUAUAAACUAUAUACAACUUUCAGCAACGGAUCUCUUGGCUCUC
rnacentral:misc_RNA from 1 species